rnacentral:rRNA from 1 species
GAUUUCUGGUUUAAUGCACCUGGCCCGCGGCCACUAGGCUGUGAGUGCCGGCGCGCGUUUACCAUCCUUCUAGAAAUCGGUUCUGCCAUUAACUUGGUGGGGCCGCGAUCUAGAUCCUUUACUUUGAAAAAAUUAGAGUGUUUAAAGCAGGCUUUUGCUAUGAAUACAUUAGCAUGGAAUAAUAAUCUAGGACUUCGGUUCUAUUUUGUUGGUUUCUAGAACUGAAGUAAUGAUUGAUAGGGACAGUUGGGGGUGCUAGUAUUGGCCGGCCAGAGGUGAAAUUCUUGGAUUCGGUCAAGACUAACUUAUGCGAAAGCAUU